rnacentral:rRNA from 1 species
GACGAACGCUGGCGGCGUGCUUAACACAUGCAAGUCGAACGGAAAGGCCCUGCUUUUGUGGGGUGCUCGAGUGGCGAACGGGUGAGUAACACGUGAGUAACCUGCCCUAGACUUUGGGAUAACUUCAGGAAACUGGGGCUAAUACCGGAUAGGCGCUCCUGCUGCAUGGUGGGGGUUGGAAAGUUUCGGCGGGUGGGGAUGGACUCGCGGCUUAUCAGCUUGUUGGUGGGGUAGUGGCUUACCAAGGCUUUGGCGGGUGGCCGGCCGGGGAGGGUGACCGGCAACAUUGGGACUGGGAUACGGCCCGGACUCCUCGGGGAGGAAGAGGUGGGGAAAAUUGCACAAUGGGCGGAAGCUGGUUGCAGCAAGGCCGCGGGCGGGAUGCCGGCUUUGGGGUUUAAACCCGCUUUCGCCUGUGACGAAGCGUGAGUGACGGUAAUGGGUAAAGAAGCACCGGCUAACUACGUG